rnacentral:rRNA from 2 species
UGGGGAAUAUUGCACAAUGGAGGGAACUCUGAUGCAGCGACGCCGCGUGAACGAAGAAGGCUUUCGAGUCGUAAAGUUCUUUUAUAUGGGAAGAUAAUGACGGUACCAUAAGAAAAAGCCCCGGCUAACUACGUGCCAGCAGCCGCGGUAAUACGUAGGGGGCUAGCGUUGUACGGAAUCACUGGGCGUAAAGGGUUCGCAGGCGGAAAUGCAAGUCAGGUGUAAAAGGCAGUAGCUUAACUACUGUAAGCAUUUGAAACUGCAUAUCUUGAGAAGAGUAGAGGUAAGUGGAAUUUUUAGUGUAGCGGUGAAAUGCGUAGAUAUUAAAAAGAAUACCGGUGGCGAAGGCGACUUACUGGGCUCAUUCUGACGCUGAGGAACGAAAGCGUGGGUAGCAAACAGG